GCUCAGGAUGAACGCUGGCGGCGUGCUUAACACAUGCAAGUCGAACGAUGAAGACCGUGCUUGCACGGUUGGAUUAGUGGCGAACGGGUGAGUAUCACGUGAGUAACCUUCCCUUGACUCUGGGAUAAGCCCGGGAAACUGGGUCUAAUACCGGAUACGACCAGUCCUCGCAUGGGGUGCUGGUGGAAAGAUUUAUCGGUCUUGGAUGGACUCGCGGCCUAUCAGCUUGUUGGUGAGGUAAUGGCUCACCAAGGCGAUGACGGGUAGCCGGCCUGAGAGGGUGACCGGCCACACUGGGACUGAGACACGGCCCAGACUCCUACGGGAGGCAGCAGUGGGGAAUAUUGCACAAUGGGCGAAAGCCUGAUGCAGCGACGCCGCGUGCGGGAUGACGGCCUUCGGGUUGUAAACCGCUUUCAGCAGGGAAGAAGCGAAAG
rnacentral:rRNA from 1 species